rnacentral:rRNA from 1 species
AGAAUCAACGCUGGCGGCGUGCCUAACACAUGCAAGUCGAACGAGAAAGUGGAGCAAUCCAUGAGUAAAGUGGCGACCGGGUGAGUAACACGUGACUAACCUACCUUCGAGUGGGGGAUAACCUCGGGAAACCGAGGCUAAUACCGCAUAACAUCGCAAGAUCAAAGCAGCAAUGCGCUGGAAGAGGGGGUCGCGGCUGAUUAGCUAGUUGGCGGGUAAUGGCCCACCAAGGCUUUGAUCGGUA